rnacentral:sRNA from 1 species
CAACCAUGGCCAUUAGGGUUACAUACCCCAUCACCUCAAAAAAAUAAAAAUAAAAUAAACUUAGGGUUUAUGCUUUAAACCUACCGCCACGCUCCCGAAGGGGCAGUCCACUGCACGCACUAAUCAGAAACCGUGUAGGUGCACUGGGCAUCUUUGAUUCUAUU